UACGGAGGGGGCUAGCGUUGUUCGGAAUUACUGGGCGUAAAGCGCACGUAGGCGGCUUUGUAAGUUAGAGGUGAAAGCCCAGGGCUUAACCCUGGAAUUGCCUUUAAGACUGCAUCGCUAGAAUUGUGGAGAGGUAAGUGGAAUUCCGAGUGUAGAGGUGAAAUUCGUAGAUAUCGAGAGGAACACCGGUGGCGAAGGCGGCCUUCUGGACAGUGACUGACGCUGAGACGCGAAAGCGUGGGGAGCAAACAGG
rnacentral:rRNA from 1 species